CUAGUGAUGUGAUUGGUCCCAUAACUCCCAAGCCCAAAUACACCAAGGUUUUGCCACCUGGUGUACCAGAGGCUGUCAACAAUUCUAUAACUUAUCUGAAAUGGGAACCACCUAAACAUAAUGGUGGCUGUAAAAUUACAGACUACCUUGUAGAAGAGAGGUUUAAGGGAACAGAGAAAUGAGUACCCCUGCACUGACCCCUCUUUACUGUCACCGAUCUUCCUCAGGACUCAGAGUGGGAGUUUAGAGUUACAGCUGAUAACUUUGCUGGAAACUGUGAGCCCAGUCUGUGCUCACCAGCAUACAAAAUCCAGGAGAAGAUUGAGUCUUUUGCAAUUGAGCAGGAUGAGGAAUCACACCAAUCAUUUGUAAAUGAAAGCAGCAGUCAUGAUGUUGUCAAUGAGAAUGAAUUUUAAAUAGGACAUGAUACAGGGCCACUUUUAAGUGAUGAAGCAGACGAGUAUGAUGAUGGUAAUGAUGAUGAAUCAUACCAUCCUUCAAGCGAUGAAAAAGCUGUGAUGAAGAUACCAUUAAUGAUCUUGAUAUGCCCAGUAAGCCUCUCAAAUCUGAAAUGCAGCAGAAACAAGCUGCACUUGCAAGUGACAGCGAAAAGGACAGUGAAUGUGAAGAUGAUCAUGAUGAUGUCGGCAAAGUUUUACCACAGUCAGAGAAGCGAAAG